rnacentral:rRNA from 1 species
AGAGGUCUCAAGCGUUGUUCGGAUUCAUUGGGCGUAAAGGGUGCGUAGGUGGCGCUGUAAGUCGGGUGUGAAAUUUCGGGAGCUUAACUCCGAAACUGCAUUCGAUAACUGCGGUGCUUGAGGACUGGAGAGGAGUACUGGAAUUCGAUGGUGUAGCAGUGAAAUGCGUAGAGAUCAAUGAGGAAGACCAGUGGCGAAGGCGGGUC